rnacentral:rRNA from 1 species
AGUCAUAUGCUUGUCUCAAAGAUUAAGCCAUGCAUGUCUAAGUAUAAGCGACUUGUACUGUGAAACUGCGAAUGGCUCAUUAAAUCAGUUAUGGUUUCUUUGAUGGUACCUUGCUACUUGGAUACCCGUAGUAAUUCUAGAGCUAAUACAUGCAGGAAUGCCCGACUUCGGAAGGGCUGUAUUUAUUAGAUAAGAAACCAUCUCGGGUCCGCCCGGUUGUGUGCUGAGUCAUAAUAACUGCUCGAAUCGCACGGCUCUACGCCGGCGAUGGUUCAUUCAAAUUUCUGCCCUAUCAGCUUUCGAUGGUAGGAUAGAGGCCUACCAUGGCGUUAACGGGUAACGGAGAAUUAGGGUUCGAUUCCGGAGAGGGAGCCUGAGAAAUGGCUACCACAUCCAAGGAAGGCAGCAGGCGCGUAAAUUGCCCGAAUCCUGACACAGGGAGGUAGUGACAAGAAAUAACAAUACAGGGCUACUUCUAGUCUUGUAAUUGGAAUGAGUACAACUUACAUCUCUUCACGAGGAUCAAU